UUUCGUUAUUUUUAAUUCAGUUCGUAGUAAAAAUAUUUUCAGACAGUAAAUACAUUUUGCCAUCCACCUUGCCUGAUGACAUGCGCCCGGUUGACGAAUUGUCGUGCCACCAGGUGGAGUUUCUCCAAGUAUAAUAACGACUAGUUCAAUUAAGGAUGGUCUUUAGUAAUUUUUUUUAAACAAAAUGAAACAAUUUCUUGACGUAUUGGGGAAAUUAUUUUUUCAACAUUUUUAUUUGUAUUCCAAACUAAUAUUUUUGUUUUAUCAAUUUCUUUCCAUGCAUUUUGAAAGCGUUUAAAGAUAGGUAUAAUUGGUCCAGGCGAUACGUAUAAUUUCGCCUCGUUAAAUGCAGCUUCGAUAAUCAACUCCGAAACAUGAUGCCUACAAGCAAAAUAAAUAAUGUCUCUGUUCAAUUUUUGCUCCAUAAUUGUAGAUGCCCCAUUUAGUCUGCCGGUAUUUGAUGCAGUAGUAUCAAAUACAAAACCUUGUACUUUAUCAAGCAAAGACCAUUUUUCUAAAGAAUCAUAUACGGCUAAUGAUAUUUCACUUCUUGUUCCUGAUGGGAUUUCUGGAACGCCAAGAAGUUGUUCUCCAUUCGGCGUUGAGAAAAUUACUGGAAGACGAUCAACUUUUUCUUGAUUAGUUAAACCAGGAAGUAAUUUUGAAUCCCAAUGUACAAUAACAAAAUCUACAUUUAAACUAACAAAAUCUGAAUGAACUUUUUCUGCGAUUUCUUUUCGAAUACUUUCUCGG